GCAGAAAGGUUUGGAGAACCUGCAGGUGUCCACAAAGGAAGACCUUCAGACGCUCAGAGCAGACCUGGAGGAAAGAGUACCAAAAGCAUGGAAUGUACCCGAAAGGUCUAAGUCUAAAGAGAGUCUGGUGGAGGUGGAGAACCAGGCAGGAAGGUCAAUGGAGUUGAUCACAUCGGUGGCCAUGGAAUCCAUGCGGGAAGAGAUGGAGAAGAUUCUGAGUGAGAAACUGGCUGUGUUGCAGAGACAACUGGAGAUGACCCAGCAAGCAAUCCCACCCAUGAAGGAAAUGACCAACACCUGGACCUCCCUUCAAAAACUCCCUGAGAACAUGCAAGCCCUGCAGAAAGGUUUGGAGAACCUGCAGGUGUCCACAAAGGAAGACCUUCAGACGCUCAGAGCAGACCUGGAGGAAAGAGUACCAAAAGCAUGGAAUGUACCCGAAAGGUCUAAGUCUGAAGAGAGUCUGCUGGAGGUGGAGAACCAGGCAGGAAGGACAGAGGAGACAAAUACCUCUUGGGGCCAAGAAUCCAUGCGGGAAGAGAUGGAGAAGAUUCUGAGCGAGAAACUGGCUGUGUUGCAGAGACAACUGGAGAUGACCCAGCAAGCAAUCCCCCCCAUGAAGGAAAUGACCAACACCUGGGCCUCCCUUCAAAAACUCCCUGAGAACAUGCAAGCCCUGCAGAAAGGUUUGGAGAAUCUGCAGGUGUCCACAAAGGAAGACCUUCAGACGCUCAGAGCAGACCUGGAGGAAAGAGUACCAAAAGCAUGGAAUGUACCCGAAAGGUCUGAGUCUAAAGAGAGUCUGGUGGAGGUGGAGAACCAGGCAGGAAGGACGGUGGAGAUGAUCACCUCCAUGGCCAUGGAAUCCAUGCGGGAAGAGAUGGAGAAGAUUCUGAGCGAGAAACUGGCUGUGUUGCAGAGACAACUGGAGAUGACCCAGCAAGCAAUCCCCCCCAUGAAGGAAAUGACCAACACCUGGGCCUCCCUUCAAAAACUCCCUGAGAACAUGCAAGCCCUGCAGAAAGGUUUGGAGAAUCUGCAGGUGUCCACAAAGGAAGACCUUCAGACGCUCAGAGCAGACCUGGAGGAAAGAGUACCAAAAGCAUGGAAUGUACCCGAAAGGUCUGAGUCUAAAGAGAGUCUGGUGGAGGUGGAGAACCAGGCAGGUGAGCAUGGCACCCCUUGAGAAAGCCUUCCUCUCCCUGUGCUGUAACUCCUAAGUGUAGCUCAGGAGCACACAAACACUCACACAGUCUCCUCUAAUGAGAUGGGAGGGAGAACUGAAAAGGUCAAGGUGAGAAAAGAGCAGUUUGGGAAAAGCUAAUUUAACAGGUGAAGUGAACAGUGGGCACACAUGAAAAUGAACAUCAGGAAUUCAUUGUCUACUUCCCACUGUCAUGCAGAUUUCAGCAGUUUCCAGGAAAGCAGGGCUAUAUUGUGUAUAAUUUUAAUGCAAGCAGACAAACACCACCGGGUCACGAUGCCACCAGAAAGGCCCUAGCUGGUGUGUAAGCACUGCUCAGAACUUAUACAUCUCUUUGCAGUCAAUGUUAUUUUCAUCACAGAGUUCAUACCUAGAACCUUCUGAGACUCUUUGAGGAAACUGAAUGAUAUACCAGUCAUAACAUAGAUAUUAUCCCUACGUUGACAUGGCUUGAGACAGUGAGUGAGACCACAGCAUUUUCUCAGAGGUUGCAGAGGAGUGCCAGCCCCUUUCCUGUGUGCCAUUUCACUGAGAAGUAGCCACACAGAUGGGGACACUGCAGGUGGUACCAACAAGCCUUCCUCUUUCAUCCUCUUGGAAGGUACAGUUUCUGAGAAGCUCUUAGGGCUCCUAAUACACAGUGAAGGAUCCUGCUGGGGCUCUAGCAUCUCCAGGCUGUGCAACCAGAUACAGUCUUUGCCUUUCACCACACAUACUGCAAACCAGUAGAAAGCCUUCUAUCCAGCAGUGCACAGACUGUGGCUUGAAGAGAUGGCAUAGUACAAUUCCUACCCUCUGUUCUGCCUGUACAGACUUUGCAAAGCUUUCAGGCAGAAUCUCAAGGGCUGUGUCUUUUCCCAUUCCUCUGGUUCUCAAUCAAUCCCAGUCAGUGUUGCAGAGGUAGAAUUUUGUUCUCACUUCUGUCCUCUUCCAUCCAGAGCUGGAUGAAAGCAUCCCGAGCUGCCUUGAAGUGCAGGAAAGGAUUCAGUUGAGUGGAGCCAUACACAGGAGAGACAGAUCAG
rnacentral:lncRNA from 7 species